UUCAUUUUAUUGACCAAUCAGCUGACCAAAUUACAUAGUCGGUUUAAUGACGUAACAAGCAAUCAUAAUUAAUGAAAGAAAAACGUGAAGGGGAAAUCCCAAAAUAAAACCUAUGCAUCCUAUAUAAAUUCCGAUAUUCUAAUACUUUAGCAUCAGUUCACACCGGCAAGACACUAUGAAGACAUCUCUCGCAAUCGUUCUUGUUCUGUCACUUUUGGGACUUAGCAACGUUUCUGCUCAGAACAGCAACUCGAAAAUCCUCGGAUCCUUGCUCGACUUCCGGACCCAAGAUUCGGUGCCGGUCUGUCUGGCGGUUUCGGUAGACCAUCUUUUGGGCACCAAAGACGAUUCGGCUACGGCAGAUAGGAUUGUAGGAACUUUGAUAGCAGUGAUCGAAAGGAUUUAUCUUCCAAUUAUUAUUCCAAAUGCCGUGGGAAGUAAAAAAAAAAUCGAGAAUAAAAGUGUAGAGUAAUGAAUUCUAAUGUGCCAAGAGUUGACAUACUAAAGAAACUCACAGCUGUGAUAUCAUACUUCGUUCUCAAAAAAGAAUAGAUAAAUGUGACUUAAUAUCAAUAGUUUCAGUGCUUAUAACAUGAAGUAUUGUAGUUCGUAGACCAUGUAGAUCAUUGCUUGUGAUAAACAGUAUUUAUAUAGUUUACAUAGUUAUAUAGUUUGUAUAUAUUAUGCAUAUAAUUAUAUAUAAUGAAUCAUAACAUGUACCAUAUUAUGUAUCAAUAUAUCAUGUACUUAUUUGUCAUUAGCUUACAUGUACAAUGUACAUAUCAAACAUUUGUCCCUUAUCUUUGUUCAUAUAUACAUUUGAAUAACUCAUCAAUUGUGAAACAUAUAUACUACGCUGUGCUAGAAAGAAAGUAUUAAAAAA
rnacentral:sRNA from 1 species